UACAGAGGGUGCGAGCGUCGUUCGGAAUUACUGGGCGUAAAGGGCGCGUAGGCGGCGUGCUAAGUCGAACGUGAAAUCCCCGGGCUCAACCCGGGAACUGCGUCCGAGACUGGCAGGCUUGAAUCCGGGAGAGGGAUGUGGAAUUCCAGGUGUAGCGGUGAAAUGCGUAGAUAUCUGGAGGAACACCGGUGGCGAAGGCGGCAUCCUGGACCGGUAUUGACGCUGAGGCGCGAAAGCCAGGGGAGCAAACGGG
rnacentral:rRNA from 1 species